CGUAUCUGGCCCUCGCCAAGCCGAAGCUGCUUAUGCUGCCGCCUGUGAGACAGAGCCCACAUUGCAGCAUGAAGAGGCUUAAAAUAAGACAUUAUUGUGUCUUGUCCUUCACCCAUAUGAAUAAUGACUGCUGUUGUCCCGGAGACCGUCGCUGACACACUCUGCAAGCACGAAAAACACAAAAUGCUGCUGCUAAAGAACACGGCUGUCCAUGAAGUGCUGUGUCCAUUAAGGGAAAGUUGGUGGUAGAGUAAACACAGCCUAAUUAAGGAUUUUAUUAAGCAUCAUUGCUGGUAUUCUGUAUUUUUUAUUAGUCUCAGGUCAUUUCUAAUUUUCAUACAAGCAAAAUCUGGAGUUUUCAUUUAGCAAUGCUAACAGAAAUAGAAACGUAUGCAUGAAACAUAUAGCUUUGUGUAUAAAGGCUCCAUAUAAUGUAUUCAUGUACCUUUAAUAAAUACUGGAAAUUCACUAAAAUGUCUCAUGUCACUUAAUUCCUCAUCGAAUUAGCAUAACAGAGCAACCAUAACUAGCCCCUUAGCCACUAGCGGAACAAGUCAGCGUAUGUCUUGAUUUUUACCCAGGAAGCAUUUCGGCUAAACCGUUAGUGAAACAGCCAUUGGGGCUGACUAGUAUAUAUAGUCCAUGGGCCAGACCAUUUUUUUGUCUAUUUCAGGGUGGCAAAGUCUAUCAAUGUUUUUUGAAAAGAUACAUGUCUCUAGUUAAUAU